AUUAACGUACAGGUAGGGCAUAUACAGUGGGGUAUUAAUGUACAGGUAGGGUAUAUAUAGCCGGGUAUUAACGUACAGGUAGGGCAUAUACAGUGGGGUAUUAAUGUACAGGUAGGGUAUAUAUAGCCGGGUAUUAACGUACAGGUAGGGUAUAUACAGUGGGGUAUUAAUGUACAGGUAGGGUAUAUACAGUGGGGUAUUAAUGUACAGGUAGG